UACGUAGGGCGCAAGCGUUGUCCGGAAUUAUUGGGCGUAAAGAGCUCGUAGGUGGCCCCAUAAGUCCGCUGUGAAAGUCAAAGGCUCAACCUUUGAAAGCCGGUGGAUACUGUGGGACUAGAGUACGGAAGAGGCAAGUGGAAUUCCUGGUGUAGCGGUGGAAUGCGCAGAUAUCAGGAGGAACACCAAUAGCGAAGGCAGCUCGCUGGGACGUUACUGACACUGAGGCGCGAAAGCGUGGGGAGCGAACAGG
rnacentral:rRNA from 1 species